UACGUAGGGUGCAAGCGUUGUCCGGAAUUAUUGGGCGUAAAGAGCUCGUAGGCGGUCUGUCGCGUCUGCUGUGAAAACUCAGGGCUUAACCCUGAGCUUGCAGUGGGUACGGGCAGACUAGAGUGCGGUAGGGGAGACUGGAAUUCCUGGUGUAGCGGUGAAAUGCGCAGAUAUCAGGAGGAAUACCGGUGGCGAAGGCGGCAUCCUGGACCAUAACUGACGCUGAGGCGCGAAAGCUAGGGGAGCAAACGGG
rnacentral:rRNA from 1 species